AUUUUAGCAAGGCAGAACAAACAGCCACUCAACUAGCACCGGCGUCAGCAGGCGGUAUCGGUACAUUGUGCAAUACGCAGAUGAACGCGAACUGCUUGUACAUGAAAAGCGAGAUAAUUCCAUCUUCAGGUAUUCCCUCACCCGUCUGGCAUGAGCUCAUGGGUCAUGAACUGGGACAUCUGUUUGGCGGCCUGCAUCCCCUUUGGGAAGAUAAGCCUUGCCAUGAUAUUAUGGCAUCUCCGGGUAUAAAGUCACCUAACGGCCUAACUUGGGGAUCCUGCACCACACCGAAGUUAAUAGAGGUGCAAAGCGAUGGUGGCCUUGGAUGCGUUGGCCUGUAGGUCGCAUCGGAUCACACGUCCACUCCGAAUGCCAUGCACUCGCUGAUUUCAUGAUGGACUUGCCUUGAUCACCAGACUAGUCAAUAAAUAAUUCUGCAGAUUAUCGACCGUUGUUCUGUAUCAGCUUUUGAUGAUGAACACGCACUAGUCACCAAACAACAAUAAAUACUUUGAAUAUUUCUGCAGAAUA